CGGAAACGACAGGGGAGCGCCCCAGAGCGCUGAGAGUGCGGCACCCGCCGCAGACCCUCGAACCUGCACCGGUUAGCACCGGCGAAGGAAGUCGACAAGGAGACGCG
rnacentral:ncRNA from 1 species